rnacentral:lncRNA from 1 species
AUGAAAGACACGGGGGAGAGAGAGAGAGAGAGAGAGAGAGAGAGACAGAGGCAGAGACACAGGCAGACGAAGAAGCAGGCUCCCACGCAGGGAGCCCGAUGUGGGACUCCAGGAUCACAUCCUGGGCUGAAGGCAGGUGCUCCACCGCUGAGCCCCGCCCGGGCGACCCCACAAUCCUGUUUGAUAAAGAAUCUAACAUUUGGGAAGGCAUUUCGUCCCCGAGCGCUCCGUGUGGCCACCUGGAAGCGAAGCGGCACGCCUGCGUCCUGGCUGGAAUCAGAGGUAGGAAGGGAAGGCAGCGUCGCGUUCCGAAGGCACAGCAACGUGCAAGACAAGACUGACUUGGGGAUGACGUCCGGCGAGCCCUCCGCAAACCGCCAGCGGGCAAUCCCUGAAACACACUCAGCCGUGCCAGAAAGCCGGGUUUUGACCGAAAUAAAGAGCCAUGCGAUCGAAUUUGUUUCCUCACGGUUAACACCCGCCCCCCUCGCCCCCCACCCACCCCCAGCACCCUGGAGGACUCAGGUGCACGCCCAAGUCCGGGAGCCGCUCCCCCAGGCCCCCAGGCCCCCAGGCCUGACCGAGCCACCCGCCGGCCCCGCCCGCCCGCGCACCUCAGGAAACCCGCCGCCGGGCUCUAAGGCCGGCACGGGGAGUGGGGGCGGGGCCGAGCCCCCCCAAGGCUGCGACGCGAGGGCGGGGCGGCACACGAGGGGCCCCGCAAAGGCCGGCACGGCCCCCGGGCGACCCGACGACUGCACACGGCGGCACCACCGGCCCGGGCGCAGCCCCCGCCCCCCCCCACGGGCGACGGCGGACGCGGGCCCCACGCACGCCCGCCCCCGGAGCCCCGAGUCCCCGCUCACCAGGAACUGGAGCAUGGCGUCGGCGCGGAGGGCGGCGCAGCUCGGCGGGCGGGUCGGACCCUGCCGCUCCGAGCGAGGGGCGGAACCCGCCGUGCGCUUCCGGGUCACGCCCCGCCCCGCCCCGCCACGCCCCGCCACGCCCCGCCCCGCCCCGCGCCACGUCACGCCACGCGCCCCGCCCCGCCCCGCCCCACCCCGCGCUGCGUCACGCCCCUCGCGGUGCGCCCCGCCCCGCCCCGCGCCGCUCGCGGCGACCUGGCGCCCCCUGCAGGAGCGCCCCGGGAUUACCGCCCGAGCUGGGCGCCUCGAGGAGAAGCGCGAAAAGCAAGCCUGA